rnacentral:RNase_P_RNA from 2 species
CGAGUCGGCCGGGCGGUCGCGGCGGCGCAGCGGCGUCGUCGAGGAAAGUCCGGGCUCCGCAGGGCAGGGUGGUGGGUAACGCCCACCCGGGGCGACCCGCGGGACAGUGCCACAGAAAACAGACCGCCGGUGCGGUACGCCGCGCCGGUAAGGGUGAAACGGUGGUGUAAGAGACCACCAGCGUCCGGGGCGACCCGGACGGCUCGGUAAACCCCACCCGGAGCAAGGCCAAGAGGGCCCGGCGUGCCGGGCCUGCGCAGGCGACAGAGGGCGGCCCGCCCGAGCCUGCGGGUAGGCCGCUGGAGGCUGCCGGCAACGGCAGCCCUAGAGGGAUGGCCGCCGGCGCCGGCCCCGGCCGGCGCGCACAGAACCCGGCUUACAGGCCGACUCGUCCG